AUGUCAGGUAAGACCAAAGGUUUUGUUUUGAAUUUCAGCGUCUAUGCGUUAGCCGCCAGGUGGCUUUCUUAGUUUUGACCACUUUGGUCUCAGCUGAUGUGCCAGUAUUCCGGUGUAUUCCGGUGCAACAAAUUUCUGGCGCGCUAGUACGUUUCUGAUUUCGAGCUUUUUUCGCGUAUCAAGCCCUUGGAUGAACCAAUUAAGUACGGAUUUAAUACAUCUUAAUAGUUCCGUAAAGAGGUAAAAAAAACCCGUAAAAAAACCAAAAGACAUGACUUUGCUCAGUGCUUUGGCAACCUUACUGUAUAUUUCUACAAGCAACAUUUGAACAUUUGAAACAGUUUGUGAACAGUUGACACUGCAAAACGUAGCAGAAGGCACUUUGACUCGCGUAAAUGGUGCGCUCAUCUCCCUCUUACGAAUAAGAAAAAAGUGUCGGUAUUAGGAAAGGAUGUCACUGUCGGUGCACGAUAGGGAGCUGCGCUUCCGCCUUUGUCGGAGGUUUCGAUGGUCAAUCAGAUCCUGAUCGUCGUAGGGGUCGGAAACGUUGCUGACUUCAUCGUUAUCGUAUUCCAAGUCGCUACCCGAUUCAGAAGUUUCAUCAUCAAGUAUUCGAUUGACUGGGCCUCGUACUUUUGCUACCAUUUCCGCCAGAUCUGUAAAUGUUUGUGGUCCUAAACAAACAUGUUUUAAUAUGAGAAAGAAACGUCGUUUAAUAGGUCGAAAUUCAUCAAAUUACCUCGUCGACCUUGAGAUCGGUGCUGAGUAUCAUUUGUUCCGUAACGCUGAUUAUACGGAUAAUAGUUAUUUGAGGUAUUGGUAGUUGGUGAAUAUUUCUUCGUUUCUCGGUAGUGAACACCAGGUUUGGUGUAAGUACCAAGAAGUCCAGCUUUUUGCAAACCAAUGAAGUAAGUUUUCCCAUGGUUGUAACCGACAUCCUGCAUAUCCAGUGGCACACCAUCGUUAUCAAAACAAUUAUUUUGUAAAGAAUAGUUCUAUACUUGCCUUGAUUUCAUGAAAACUACCAAAUUGUAACGUUUUAUACUUGUCGAUGGGUGGCCUUAUAUACUCACAAUAGUCACUUUUUUUAACCUCCUAUGAUUGACAGGAAGUUUUCAAACGUUAUAUAGGUCAACCUAAAAAAAAAAUAAUAAAACCUACUUCUAACUGACGAACGCAGGAAACAUAUGCAAGACGGGACUGAAUGUCUGGCAAGUUAGGCACUUUUACUGGACUCGCAAACGGAUUCCAUUUUUUCCAGAGCAACCACCAUCCGGAUAAACAGUCUCCAUAAUUAGUCAAGUCGGUAUCGUCUUGCGAACCUACGUCGAUUGCCAGAAUAUGUUUGGCACCUCGACUUCUCAUUACGUCGGCUUAGA